rnacentral:misc_RNA from 1 species
UUGCGGCUGGAUCACCUCCUUUCUAGAGUCGGCAUCAGACUCAAAUGUCCACACUUAUCGGCUGUUGUUAGCUACUGGUUAAACGUAAGCCCUCGCGGUUUAGGUUUAAGUAGUAACGUUCUUUAACAAUCUGGAAGAAGUAAAAGUUUUAUUAAGCGAUAUCGAAAGAUAUUACUUAGGGUAGUAGUAAAACUCAUCAAACACAGUAGUAAGUGCUUGAACUUAUAGCCGUCAAGGUUAUAGGGACAAGUGAAUAAGUGCACAUGGCGGAUGCCUUGGCGAUUACAGGCGAUGAAGGACGU